rnacentral:rRNA from 1 species
GAUGAACGCUGGCGGCGUGCCUAAUACAUGCAAGUCGAGCGAACAGACGAGGAGCUUGCUCCUCUGACGUUAGCGGCGGACGGGUGAGUAACACGUGGAUAACCUACCUAUAAGACUGGGAUAACUUCGGGAAACCGGAGCUAAUACCGGAUAAUAUAUUGAACCGCAUGGUUCAAUAGUGAAAGACGGUUUUGCUGUCACUUAUAGAUGGAUCCGCGCCGCAUUAGCUAGUUGGUAAGGUAACGGCUUACCAAGGCAACGAUGCGUAGCCGACCUGAGAGGUUGCUCGGCCACACUGGAACUGAGACACGGUCCAGACUCCUACGGGAGGCAGCAGUAGGGAAUCUUCCGCAAUGGGCGAAAGCCUGACGGAGCAACGCCGCGUGAGUGAUGAAGGUCUUCGGAUCGUAAAACUCUGUUAUUAGGGAAGAACAAAUGUGUAAGUAACUAUGCACGUCUUGACGGUACCUAAUCAGAAAGCCACGGCUAACUACGUG